rnacentral:lncRNA from 1 species
CCCCCCCUCUUGGGUUGCAUAGCUGGGCAACAACUAGACUUUUACUUAUACAUCAAGUGAAGACAAUAUGGUCACAAUGAUAUAAGACAACACUUUACUAUAGAUGAUUAUUGAAAGCUAUUUGAUUUUAAAUCUAUACAUUUCAAUACAUAUAUAUUAUGAUCAAUAAAAUUGAUUCUCAAAAUAAAUACAAAUAUCC